UGAUUGCAGGACCACAGCAGCCAUCCUGAUCUAUGAGGCUGUGAACAGGGUGUGGGAGGGGAGAAAGAUGUCAGACCUGGGGGUGGGGGUGGAGGGUCAAAGAACUGGGAGCUCCUGGAAUUAUUGGCUUCAAGUCUGAGAAUCUUCUGCUUCUCUGAACUUGUUUCUUCCUUCCUUUCUUUCUAUCUUCCUUCCUUUCUAUCUUCCUUCCUUCUGUCAUUUAUUUCUUUCCUCCUUCCUUUCUUUCUUACUUUCUUUCUUAAGAGCUCAGAAAGUCCUUGGCUAACAUUUGAAACCACCACCCAUCUGUCAGCUUGUCUUACUGCGGUGGCUUGCAUAUUGCUGUGAUGCUGGAAGCUAUGCCACCAAUAUUUCCAAUACCAGCAGGGUCACCCAUGGUGAACAGGUUUCAGCAGAGCUUCCAGACUCAGACAGACUAGGAAGAAAGGCCUGGUGGUCUGCUUCCAAAAAUCAGCCAGUGAAAACCCUAUGAAUCACAACAGAACAUUGCCCAAUAUAGUGCUGGAAGAUGAGUCCCCUAGGUUGCAAAACACUCAAAAUAUACAGUGGCUUCAACAACACACUCAAGCAUACCAAUGAUGCGAAGAUGGCACUGGACCAGGCAUAAUUUUGUUCUGUUGUACAUGGCGUCACCACAAGUUGGAGUCGACUCAACGACAACAGGUAUAAUGGAAAAACCACUGGGCAGGGAGCUGGACGAUAUCUCAGCUCUGACACUAACUGGGAGACCGUCUGGCACAUGGGAAGACAUGGAUCAUGGAGUCCAGCAAGCAUGGAUCGCGUUCUGGUUCCGGGACCUACUGCAGCUCUCUGGGUCUGUUUCCUCAUCCAUGUAAAGGAUACUAUUCAUCUCAUAGAGUUGUUGUAAGGAUUCAAUGAGAAAAGCUCUUUAUGCUGCUCCUGAUAUGUAAUAUGGAAACCCUGGUGGCAUAGUGGUUAAGAGCUAGUGCUGCCAACCAGUUCAAAUCCACCAGGCGCUUCUUGGAAACCCUAUGGGGCAGUUCUACUCUGUCCUAUGGGUUCACUGUGAGUCGGAAUCGACUCGACAGCAACGGGCUUGGUUUUUUGGUUUGGUUUAAUAUGUAAUAUGGAGCCCUGGUGGCGCAGUGCGUGCUAUUAUUAUUAUGUACUGUUACGAUUAUUACUAAGAAUUAUUUUGGGCAGACCAGUUCACCUCUGUGAACUUCACUAUUGUCAUCCAAAGAAUCAGUCUUUUUUGUGUGUCGUUAAAAAUAUAUGCCUUUACAGGAAGGGACAGGAAAACUGGAAAAAUGGACACGGAGAAUCGAGGUGGAAAGGGAAAGAGGCAGAGUGCUGACACAAUGCAGGGAUUGCAACCAAUGUCACAAAACAAUUUGUGUACAAGUUUUUGAAUGAGAAACUAAUUUGCAAUGUACACUUUCACCUAAAGCACAAUAACUUUAAAAAUAUGUAUACGUAUAUGCCUUUAGAAAUAAUGUCCCAAUAAGUUGAAAUAUGCUUCUGCUGUCCUUCUUCCUACCUAAAAGUCUUCUCUUCUCCAUUUGCUUUGGCAUCUGAACUUGUUUCAGACAAAUGAGUCAGUUAGCAUGAAGUCAUUAAUUUUCUUGAGCCAGACAGACGUGUGUCAGCCCUUCUCUAAGGGAGAGCAAGGUGCUCAUUUCAGACCUCACCAAGAAUACCCUCAAAGUGAUCCUAGUGCAGGCCCUGCCUCCUCCUGGGGCUGUUUUGAAGUUCAAAUGAGAUGAUAACGUUCUUCAAUGCCUUUGAAAUUGAAAGUACUAGUCAAGAGCUUUUUUUUCCAGUUGCCAAUGAGUUGACCCCAACUCAUGGCCACACCAUGUAUGUCAGAGUAGAACUGUGCUCCGUAGACUUUUUCGUUUGUUUGUUUGUUUUUUAAAUUCUGCUUCCGGUGACAGUUUACAAAGCAAAUUGGUUUCCCAUAAAGUGUUUCAUGACCUUGGUUUCAUUCCCCACAAUGUGUCAGCACUUCUCCAUUUUUUUCAUCCUGAUUUUCUACCCCAUCCUGCCUUCUCAUCUUUGCUUUUGGACAGAUAAUGUCCUUUUGAUCUUGUAUAAUUGAUUGCUGUAAGGAGUAUGUUCCUCUCAGGUGUUACUGUUUAUCUUAUGUGGCUGUCUAUUGUUUGGCUAGGAUCCGAGAAUGGCUUCCUUUCCAAGUCAAAAGUGUGCCUUAGGGCCAUAGUCUUAGAGGUUCCUCUAGUUUCUGUCAGACCAGCAAGCCUGGUCUUUUUUGUAAAUUUGUUUUUUUGUUCUACAAUUUUCUCCUGCUCUGUCUAGGACCCUCUGUUGUGAUCCCAAUCAGAGCAGUUGGUGGUGGUAGUUGGGCACUACCUAGUUCUUCUGGUCUCCGGGUCGUGUAGGCUGUGGUUUAUGUGGUCCAUUAGUCCUUUGGACUAAUUGCUUCCUUGAGUCUUUGGUCUGUCCAUAAGGUUUUCAAUGACUGAUCACCAGGUCUUUCUUCCAAGGCACCUCUGAGCAGACUUGAACCACCAACCUUUCAGUCAGGAGCAAACACAUUAAAUGUUUACACCACCCAGGGACUCCAAGGGCUAGGGGUAUCUAUUUCUUUCAUUCUUAGAGAACACCUGGUCGGCAGCUGCACUGGGACUAGAACCCAGGUCCUGACCCCCAGCCUAGGGCAAAGCAAUUCUCCUAGUUACCUGGCAGAGUGCUUAACUAUGUUGCACAUCUUCAAUUAAAAGGAGUUUAAGCUAUUGCCUGGAAAAAGACUCUGCCAUUGCCUAUAUUCAGUGAUGAGGGAAGAACGUCUGUCAAUCUAAGUGUGGCUCAUAGGGGUGAUAGGGAGUAGGGGCUGAGGUGGGCAAGGGCGGGAAGCAAAGAGAUUGGGAAGAGCCAAUCCAUCCAGGCAACAGAGGGCGAGGGUCUAGAUUCUAGAAGUAACAGAGUGGAGGGGACCAAUCUGAGAAAUGUUAUUCAUCUUUUGUUAGAUUUAACUUUGUGUUUUGGAAACAUUCAGACUUACACAAACGUAGAGAGAAUGGUAUGAUGAGCCUCCAUGGGCCUAGUACCCAUAUGCACCAGUUAUCAACAUUUCCCUCUUGAGAAUUUGUAGAAGGGGAGAUUGAUAGGCCUUAGUGAUUGGUUGGAGCCCUGGUGGUAUAGUGGUUAAGAGCUCGGCUGCUAACCAAAAGGUCAGCAGUUCGAAUCCACCAGCUGCUCCUUGGAAACCCUAUGGGGCAGUUCUAUCCCAUCCUAUAGGGUUGCUGUGAGUCGGAAUCGACUGGAUGACAAUGGGUUUGUUUUGUUUUUUGGUAGUGAUUGAUUAGAUGGUGAGGGGAAGUGGUGAUGAGGGAAUAGAGAGAAAAUCGAUAGGCCUUACUGAUUGAUUAGAUGUGAGGGGAAGUGGUGAUGAGGAAAGAGAGCCAAAAGAGAAGGAAGAACUCAGGAUGACGGGGGUGUCUAGCCUGGGUCAGGUAGAGAAUGUAGGAAGCCGAGCCAGUCUGGAGGAAGACAAUGAGCUGAGUGAGCAGAGCCUGUCCGGAGUAGGGAGUUAUGCUCUCUGCACACCCACCUCCCAGUUCCUUACACAGAUAUCUACUGAGUAAGCAAAGGAUGUGGGUAGUGGGACCCACCAAGGACGGUUCUAGCCCCCUGCUAGGCUGGCCCAGUCUGAAGGCUGAAGCAGGUGAAGCUAGCUGAGCACCAGUUAGAGGACAGUGGUGAUACAGUGGUAGAAUUCUUGCCUCCCAUGAGGGAGAUAGAGAGACGGUUAUUAUAAAAGGGUGCUGUACCCAGAAAGGAUAUCGUAUUGCCUGUAAAUAGAAUAGUCUGCUCACACAAAGGCUAGUUCAUGAUCAGUGCCCUUGAGGAACUUAUUGCCUAUGGGGAAAAUGACUUGUAAACACCUCACAAUAAUCAGAGGCAGGGCAACAGAAAGGCUGAGGAGACUCCCCUGCUAUUUGCUGUGAUGGCUUGGACAAAGGAGCCACUGAUUCUGACUAGAAGCACCAGGCAGGAGGCACUCCCUCGUGGUACUCCUGUUACAGCAGCACUAGGAGAUGAAGACUUACUAACUCAUUAACAGCCUGCGUUAUGCAGAUGACACAACCUUGCUUGCUGAAAGUGAACAGGACUCGAACCACUUGCUGAUGAAUGAUGAAGAUCAAAGACCCCAGCCUUCAGUAUGGGUUACACCUCAACAUAAAGAAAACAAAAAUCCUCACAACUAGACCAAUAAAACAACAUUAAUGAUAAACGGAGAAAAGAUUGAAGUUGUUAAGCAUUUCGUUUUACUUGGAUCCACAAUCAACACCCAUGGAAGCAGCAGUCAAGAAAUCAAAAGAUGGAUUGCAUUGGGCAAAUCUGCUGCAAAGGGCCUCUUUAAAGUGUUGAAAAGCAAAGAUGUCACACUGAAGACUAAGAUGUGCCUGACCCAAGCCAUGGUAUUUUCUAUCACAUCGUAUGCAUGGGAAAGCUGGACAACAAAUAAAGAAGACCAAAGAAGAAGUGACACCUUUGAACUGUGGUGUUGGCGAAGAAUAUCGACUAUACCAUGGACUGCCAAAAGAACAAACAAAUCUGUCUUGGAAGAAGUACAACCAGAAAGCUCCUUGGAAGCAAGGAUGGCGAGACUGCAUCUUCCAUAGUUUGGACAUGUUGUCAGGAGAAGAACAUCAUGCUUCAUAAAGUACAGGGUCAGUGGAAAAGAGGAAGGUCCUCAACGAGAUGGAUUGACACAGUGGCUGCAACGGUGAGCUCAAGCAUAACAACGACUGUGAGCAUGACGCAGGACCAGGCAGUGUUUGUUUCGUUCUGUGGUACACAGGGUGGCUAUGAGUCAGAACUGACUUGAUGGCACCUAACAACAACAACAGGAAACAAAGACACUCCGCCUUCCCCCCUCUCAGUUAUGGUAAGUUAGCUCUUUCCCCUUUGAGUCCAAUCCUAUUUGUGCGGUACCCCAGGAGAACCAUGAAGUAAACAGCCUUGGCGGUGCUUGGGUGUCAAGGGAAGCUGGAGGAAAGAAGAGUGAGAGAUUUAUGCAGAGGUGCCCUCCUAGGUCCUACUGGAACACUGGACCUCCUAACCCUGUCUGCUACUGCACUGGAAGGCAGAGCUUCCCCGGAAGCUGGAGACCCAGUGAGGAGCUCUAGAUGUGGGUGAUCGUGGAGUCUUCUCAGGUUAGCACCAGGCAAAUGGCAGCUCCAGAGGGGCAAUGCUAAGGCUCUGGUAUUGUUGACUUUAAGGCCCAUGGGUCCAACUCGUGUCCCUGGCAAAGCUGUUUUGCGCUGGGAACCGCGUGAGGUGAGGACCACAUUUUAUUUAAUAAAUCUUCAGAAAGCAGUACUUCUCAGCCUUGGUUGCACGUUGGAAUCACCUUGGGGAGCUUAACAACAGACUGAUGUCUGAGCCCAGCUCCCAGUGAUGCUGGUUGAAUUAUUCUGGGUGUGACGUGGGUGGGCACUAGGAGUUUUAAAAGCUCACCACGUGAUUGUAAUGUGCAACCAAGGUUGAGCACCAAUGCUCUAAAGGCCCAAGUACAAAGACCACGUCCCCCACGAGCAAAGCGGAAGCUGUAACAGAGGCAGAUUAAAAACAGCUAAGGAAGCCCAGGAGCCCUGGUGGUGCAGUGGUUAAGAACUUGGCUGCUGACCAAAAGAUAGGCAGUUUGAAUCCACCAGCCAUUCCUUGGAAACUCUAUGGGGCAGUUCUACUCUGUCCUAUAGGGUUGCUAUGAGUUAAAAUAGACUUGACAACAAUGAGUUUGGUUUCUUUGGCUUUAAGGAAGCCCAAAGAGUUCCUGGGUGGCACAAACAGUUAAGCGCUCGACUCUUAGCCAAAAGAUUGGUGGUUUGAAUUCACCCAGAAAUGCCUCGGAAGACAGGCCUGGCAAUCUGCUUCUGAAAGGUGACAGCCUUGAAAACCCUAUGGAGUAGUUCUACUCUGCCCACGUGGGGUCGUCAUGAGUUGCAAUGGAUUCAACAGCAACUAACAACAACAACGAGGAACCCAAGACUCCAUAAAAGCCAUGAUUUCACUGGGGAAGAUCAUGGAGAAGACAUAUUCUCGGUGUUUCUUGUGGUCUAGAGCUAUUAGCCAGGAGCUAGUCUGGUAUGUGUGUGCACAGUGACACGAAGGCCCUGCCUUAUGUGUCAGAAACAUGGUUUUGUAAUAUACAAGAUAGUUCCCCAAAUGGUUGCGUUUUGCCAGUCAGGAUGUGUGGGCUUUUCCCUCAGGUUGCUCCGUAACUGUUAGAAGGGGUGUGACCAAAACAAACCCUGUCACAUCCUGUGGGUGUCUGCUGACUGCAGAAAGCUCCUGCUGACUUCAGCGUUUCUGGUGUCAUAACACAGUCAGAUGCGUCUCUUCAGGAGGUGAAAUCUCCAGGCCCUUCUGUUUUGAAAAUCCACGUGUGGCAAGGCUCUGACUCACUUCCCCGACUGCUUCCUGCAUCAACAGCCCCAGCGGUUCCUCUCACUCCAGGGUUCAGUGAACAAGGUAGAAACUGUCAGCCAUCGUAGGAAGAGACUUGAAUUUUAAUUGACUCUCCCACUGUUGGGUGGGCAAGGAGGGAGCUUAUGUAGGCAGCUUUGAGAUCUUGGUAGGAAAGAACCGAUGUAAAUACAAAAUGAGAUUAACCCCAAUUCAGACCUCUGUGGAGAGGGCCAGAUCUAUUCAUUCAAAAGAAAGAAAGCAAUCAGAAAAUAGGCCACUUCUCCCAAUUGUACAGCACGGUUGAAUAUUUGGCUGUGGGUGACUGUCACUAACUACCUUUUUUUCAGUCAUUUGAGACACUGAUUGACAGACACCAGGCAUGUUAUUAGUUGGCGUCAAGUCAUGGCGACCUUAGGUAUGACAGAAUGAGACAGUGCCAGGUCCUGUACCAUUUUCAUGAUCUUUGAUAUGUUUGAACCCACUGAUGUGUCUAUGGUGUCAAUUCAUCUCACUGAGGGUUUCCUUCAUUUUUGCUGACCCUCUAAGUAACCAAACAGGAUGUCCUUUUCUAGCCAUUGGCCUUUCCUGAUGAUGCCUCCAAAGUGAGCCUGAAUCUUGCCAUCCUUGUUUUGGUGCCCAUUUUACAGAUCAUGAAAUCAAGGCCUGAGAUGUUCCCCGUUGCUCUCAAGUCAAUUCUGACUCAUAGCGACCCUACAGGACAGAGUAGAACUGCUCCAUAGGGUUUCCAAGGAGCGGCUGGUGGAUUCCAACUGCCAAUUUUUGGUUAGCACCCAUAGCUCCCUAUAGCUCUUAACCACUGCACUAACAGAACCCUGAUGGUGCAGUGGUUAAGAGGUUUGGCUGCUAACCAAAAUGUCGGCAGUUCGAAUCCACCAGCCGCUCCUUGGAAACUCUAUGGGGCAGUUCUACUCUGUCCUACAGGGUCACUACGAUUCGGAAUUGACUCCACAGCAACAGGUUUGGUUUUGCUUUGGUUUUAGAGAGGUUCAGCCUGUCUGAGGUUCUCAUGCUAGUAACUAGCUGAGCAGAGAUACGAACCCAGGCCUGAGCACAGAGCCUGCACUCUAACCACUGUGUCACACUGUCUCUCCUAAAGUAUGUUACACCUUGGCCCAAAUCAGGUACAACUAUAGGAAACUAUGAAAUACAGGUAACUGGAAAGAGAAAAAUAAAAAAGUUGCAGUCAAGUCGA